UACGAAGGGUGCAAGCGUUACUCGGAAUUACUGGGCGUAAAGCGUGCGUAGGCGGUUCGUUAAGUCCGUUGUGAAAGCCCUGGGCUCAACCUGGGAAUGGCAGUGGAUACUGGCGAGCUAGAGUGUGAUAGAGGAUGGUGGAAUUCCCGGUGUAGCGGUGAAAAUGCGUAGAGAUCGGGAGGAACACCAGUGGCGAAGGCGGCCAUCUGGAUCAACACUGACGCUGAGGCACGAAAGCGUGGGGAGCAAACAGGG
rnacentral:rRNA from 1 species